AAUAUUGGACAUUGGGGGCAACCCUGAUCUAGCCUUGCCGCGUGUUUGAAGAAGUUAUUCUGAUUUUAAAGCACUUUAAGUUGGGAGGAAGGGCUUUAGGCUAAUACCCUGAAGUUUUGACGUUACCAACUUAAUAAGCACCGGCUAACUCUGUGCCAGCAGCCGCGGUAAUACAGAGGGUGCAAGCGUUAAACGGAAUUACUGGGUGUAAAGCGCGCGUAGGUGGUUCAGUAAGAUGGGUGUGAAAUCCCCGGGCUUAACCUGGGAACUGCUUUCAUAACUGCUGAGCUAGAGUACGGUAGAGGGUAGUGGAAUUUCCUGUGGAGCGGUGAAAUGCGUAGAUAUAGGAAGGAACACCAGUGGCGAAGGCGACUACCUGGACUGAUACUGACACUGAGGUGCGAAAGCGUGGGGAGCAAAC
rnacentral:rRNA from 1 species